UACAGAGGCCUCGAGCGUUAGGCGGAAUUACUGGGCGUAAAGGGUGCGUAGGUGGUUUGUUAAGUCUGCUGUGAAAUCCCCGGGCUCAACCUGGGAAUGGCAGUGGAUACUGGCAAGCUAGAGUGCGGUAGAGGGUAGUGGAAUUCCCGGUGUAGCAGUGAAAUGCGUAGAGAUCGGGAGGAACACCAGUGGCGAAGGCGGCUACCUGGACCAGCACUGACACUGAAGCACGAAAGCGUGGGGAGCAAACAGG
rnacentral:rRNA from 1 species